UCUCAGAACACACAGAUGCAGCUCGGGGUUCCUUUAAGAACUCCUCCUUGUCUGUCCAGGCUGCUGAGUGACUUCAGCAUCUUGGUGGAGGAGCCCCAGGCGCAUGUGGCAUGACGUGGUUAGCGAAGGCCGAGGGUGAGCUUUUGAGCUGGCCAGGGAUGGAUGGGCCCUGAACAGACAGGUGCCUGCUGGAUCCACCCAAACCCUGCAGCAGCCUCAAAGCACUGACUCCUCCCCUGUGGCGGCUCGCCUUCUUAUAUCCAUAUUCGCGCUUGUUUGCUAUUCCCGCCCCACCCCCCCUAGAACGGGGAAAGUAGCGUAUAAUAAUUUGUAGCAUAUGCUGGAAUAAUAAAGCGAAGACGUCAGAGAGGGAAGGUAUUAGCGCACAGAACCCACGCCACCGGGGCCUUUGCAAUCACAGCAGAAUCAAGGGGAGUGGGUGGGGGGUGCAGCCAAAGCAGAGAGAGAAAACAGUUCCGGGACCCAGGGUCCAUAGUGCUUUCUUCCAUUCGUUCACACGGUCAGGGGAUGCUCGUUAGGCAUCUACUAUGAGCUAGAACACUAUCUAAGACUCAGCGCUCAGCGGCAACCGCAGCUCUGCACUCCUGCGGGCCUCCUUGCCUUUCAUCUUGGAAAGAGACCUUAUCAGGGAACAAACCACUUAGCUAGAUGAGAACAAAUCUGAGGAGAGAUUGCAGUCUGUGUUAGGGACCGGCCUGAGGGUGCCGCGCGGGAGAACCUCCCUGGAGAAGCUGGCCCUUGGGCUAAGGGUUGAUGGACGAACAAGAAUGGAGUGAACAUCCCAGGCAGAGAGACGGCCUCAUGUCAGAAAAGACCCCAAGGAAGAGGGGAGCAGGUGUUUCCAAGCAACUCAAAGGCCUAGCAGAGAGGGGACCGGGUGAUGCUUCUCUCCUGCAACAUUUCUUGAGUUUGUAGCUGGGAGACUCGUAUGGCUGUCUCUUAACGUAUGACCCAACCGAUGGUAUAAAGGUAAUGAUGUACAGCAGUGACACGCGAGGGAUACCUACAUGAGGCGUGGUCCUAACACCCCAGACUGAAGAGGUCAGAUUCAAAGUCUCACUCGCUGCAGAGCGUUCUAGCCAGACAGACAUACAGGACAUGUGUGUGCCCCACAGCCCGCUCUACAGUGUCUCUCAGAUCUUACUACACAUGGAAAUUCAACGUCAUCCUGACUUUAAAUAGAGAGCAAGGCCCCUGUGCUAGCAUCUAAAGCUCAACAGAACCAGCUGCAACCGCUGGUCGCUCGUGGUUACUUCACCAACACCACACGUGACUCUGAGAGCCAUGCCUGAGAGAAAUGCCUGGAUCACAAACCCUUCAGGCAACCCUUUGGGAAUAUAUCUGCUAAGAACUGUGGGGCAGUGAGCUGGAGAUGUGGUUCCUGAAAGGGUCCAGAGGCAAGUAUCCUGCAUCUUCAGGUAAGGGCGGACCGUGAGCUUUGAAAUCCACCAAGAAAAAGGCAGGGCAGCUUGCUCUUUACAGGAAGGUGGACACAGCAUCUCUUGAUGAGCAGCCGGCCACACUGUGUGCCCACGGAGUCUAGUUCAGGAGUUCUACCCUUUUAUCGGCAUGGUUUAUGUCUGCUUCCUCUCCGUGAGGUAUGUUCCUCCUUUUAAACCCUGGCAUGCCAAGGUGCGAAGGAGAAAGGUCUCACCCACCUGGAGGCUUCAUCAGACCUCCUGAGGAGUCGACUGCCCAGAUAGCAACCCUUCAUAAAGGCAGCUCAAGAGCCGUGCAGAUGGCUCAGUAAACAAAACCCUGGCUGGGCAAGGGUGAGGGGUGGAGGCUGAGGCCUAGCAGGUCUGUGAGAAAGCAAGUGGGUGUGAGAAAGCUGGUGGCUGUGAUGUCCGGAGUCAUCGAGUCAUCGCAGAGUGCAGGAGGCAGAGCUGGGGAACCACCAGGGCAAGCCGGGCAGCCAGACGUGUGAGCUCAGAGCUCAGCACAAGACCCUGUUUCAAAAUAAAAAGUAUACACCAAGAAGACACGGUGUGUCAACCUCAGGCCUGCACACCCACACCCCCAUCUCACACAGAUUCAAAAGAAUGAUGAAAUUUUAAGUACCUGGUUUUCACCUGAUUUUUCCAAUUGUAAUUUGUUUUCUUCACACUCAUAAGCAAUCCUGAGUGAAUCUGUUUUUGAAAUUUUUUGAUCCACAUGUUAAAAAAAAAAAAACCAGCUAAACCUUACUUAAAUAACUACAGAGUAGUAAUUGCUGACGGUGGCUGCCUCUGGUGGUAAGAGUCCACAAAAAUGUCCGCAGUGAACAUGGUUGUUUGCAUCAAGGGGGUGGGGGUGGGGGUGGGGGUGGGGCUGGGUACUGGCGCUCAAUGGAGUCCCAGCUAUUUGAGCUGAGGCGGGAGAGUAUUACUUGGGACCAGAAACGAGGGUGUGUGUGUGUGUGAAGAGGGGAGGGGGGAGGGGAGAAGAAAAAGAUUAAAAAUAACUGCUCCAGGGGUUGGGGAUUUAGCUCAGUGGUAGAGCGCUUGUCUAGCAAGCGCAAGGCCCUGGGUUCGGUCCCCAGCUCCGAAAAAAAGAAAAAAGAAAAGAAAAAAACUGCUCCAGCGGGAACUGGAACUGGAAGCCAAGGCAUGGCGGGUUCAGAGCUCUUCCAUUAUUCGUGUUGAGGGCUCAGCUUUUCAGUUACUGGGAUCAUCCUGAGAGCUCAGACCAGUUGUAUCAAGUCCUCAAUGACCCAAUUUCGCUUCUCUUCUUUUCUUCUUCCAUUCCUUCCCACAGUUUAUUCCUCGGUCCAACGGAUGGAGCCCGGGGCUUUGCACAAGCUAGGCUGCACUCCCUCACUGGACUCCAUCUCUAGACCCCUCCCACAAACGGUCCCAAGAUCCAAUGCUCGGUAAGAGCGGUCUCUGCCUUGCAGGCCUCGAAGGUGUCGAGGUGCAGGUAAAGUGUGAUCAGGGUCUUGGGAGGGAAGCCCUGGGCAAGGUGGUGUCUCCUGGAAAGCAGAGUCUCUGCAAACAUCUCUGGGACGGCCGCUGUGCUCCCUGAGGGAACUCGUGCCUCAGAGUUGAGAUGUCCUGAACGGGAGGAAGCAAGUGACAUAUUCAUGCUUUGUGUAAGUUCAAAUGAAUUUCGUUUUGAGUCUUAAAGGCAUAGACCAGUUCAGUGAUUCAUUAUUUGUGUUUAUUCUAGAGGAUGUAAGAUUAUUUUAGUUAUAAACCACGCUGACAGCUUACGGGAAAACUUAGCAUUCAACAAAGUGAGAGGUUUGCUUUGCAGGCAACGGAGCAGGAAUCCAGAUUUCUCCCUCUGAGCUAACAAGUCAGUCAUUUUUCCUUGAGCGUUCCAGUCUCCAGCUGUCCCUGGCUCCUAGGCCAGAGGCGGCCAUGUGGUGUGUUGCACAAGUGACCGAACAGAAUCCCAGAGCAAAGCAUGACAGAGCUCGCCGCGCAACGAGGAAAGCUAGGGUUUACUGGACGCUUUUUAUUACGGUCAGAUGUUUCCUGUGUCUGGUUUCUGAAGCAGAAUGUGGAGAAUAUGAACGGACAGGGAGGAGAAGACAGCCGAUUAUUCUUAAGUUUGGGUCAGGCUUUGAAAGCCCCAGGCAUGUGUGAAUUAGCUGCACUCUGGAGUGCCGCCCGGCUGCUACGCUAACACAUUCCACAUCCCGAUCUUCUGCUAUCCGACCCAUGCAAGCUUCAGGAAUGGGAGACCGAGGAGUGAACAGAUUGUUGCCAAGCAAACACGUAGAAUUCAAACAUAGAAAACUAACAUGUCCCUGUGAUAAGACAGAAAAAAAUGCUGAUCAGGGUGAUUUCGCUGCUCCUUAAUACAGAAAAUAUUAACCCCUGCACACAAGACCCAGUAAGAACGUGAGUAUCCCUAGUCUCAGGAAAGGCACAUGUUAGUGGGAGAGGGGUGAAUGCCAUGUGAGUAAAAUGAACGAGGCCACUUCUCACAGUGGCCAUUUCUCACAGUGGUGGCUGAUGUGAAGACUAUGACACAAUGUUAAAAGGCCAAGGCGUGGGGGUUUGGGGAGGAGAGAUCAGACAUGACCCAUACAGUGUUUAGGGCAUGUGGACCAGGACCUGAAGACAGAAACCAUCAAAAGCAAGGGCUAAAAGGGAGUUCCAGGCUGAGGGAGAGCACGCCCCAGAACCUCCCUGUGGAGUGGACCACACUGCUGCAGCAGAGAAAGCCGGACGGUGGGAAGUGUUGAAAGAAAUCUGCCACAUCUGCCUGUGGCUGUGGAGAGACGGAGAGGCCGAGCAGAGACUGCUAUGCAGAGACGGCUGUGUCCUGCUCAACAGCACAAGUUUUCUGUUUAAAAAACUUUUUCAUGUGUUUGAGAACUGUUAAGAUGUAUUGAUUUUUAUUUAAUGUAUGAAUGCUUUCCUUCCGUGAGGACCACAUGAGUGCCCGUUCCCCACAGAUGCCAGGAGAAGGCAACACAUCCCUGGGAACUGGAAUUACAGCUAAUUGUGGGCCAACACGUGGGAGCUAGGGACUGAGCCUGCGUCCUCCGCAGGAGCAGUGCUCUAACUGCAGAGCCAUCUCUGCAGCCCACGUACGGGUGUCUUGCCUGCAUACACGUCUGUGCACCGCUUGUGUGCCUGGUACUCACCGAGGCCAGAAAAGACUGUUAGGCCUCCUGGAAUUGGGAGUCACAGAUGUUUGUAAGGGUGCUGGGAAUCAAAGCCAGGUCCUCUAGCAAAGAGGUCAGUGUUCUUAACCACCAGACAACUCUCCGGGCCCCAGGAAGCCUUUUUAAAACAAACAAACAAAAGCCUCAUCGAGACUGAGGGGAGUGUGCCAGGGGCAAAGUGCCUGCUACCAUACAUCAGAAACAAAACAAAAGCUUUAAAAAAUUGGACAGUAAAGUUUCUGGCUUGUACUCCCAAAUAGAAACUUGGCUGCUUCAUAGGAACUGAGCUGUUACCCUGCCAACAGAGUAGAAGGUGGAUCAGGAGAGGGAGACUGAGGCAGGAGGUGCACAGAGGAGGCAGACACGACAGAGGAGAGGGAGUCGUGCUUGAGCUGAAACUGUGAGGUCUGGUGGCUGGGCUGCAGGAUAGCACUAAGGAUCCUUAAAGGGAAAGCUCUGGGAUUUGCAACAAACAGAACGGGAAUGAGAAAUAAGACAGAGAGAAGACCAUAUCCGCAGUCCGGGCUUGUGCAAACUGAGGCUGACUUCUCUAAGCGUGGCCCACUGGUGGGCCACUGAGUGACCUGAUUACAGGAAGGCCAAGCCUCUCCCUGGUAGCUGCCUGCUGGAGACGUUCAUUGGGAAGCACGGAGUAUUAGGGAGCGAGGAGCAAUCACAGCACAGAAGGGAGGCUUGGGUGGGGCCCAGGCCAGCCUGGAUGGUUGGUCCUGCAGCCUACAAGGUAAAACACUACGGUGAAGAGACAGAGCCCUGCUGUUGAGAGCAUCACAGAGACGAAGCUCCAUCUUCAAUUCAAAACGUUCUCCUGCUUCCUCUGUGGUAACCAGCUAAGACUCUGCAUCCCUCCUCAGGGCCUUAGGGUUUGGCUCUGCUCAGUGUCCAUGAGGCCUGACCAACCGCUAGGAGUCUCCUAUUCCCGUCUCCUGCUACCUGGAUGCCUUUGCAGGGGGCUCAUCCCCUCUGGGCAGCAUGCUUCCUGCUCUCUUCCCCGCCCUCCUAAUGGCUGGUGUAAAAGCACGCUUGUCACCAGGCCCAACACAUUCACAGGCUGACUCAAAAGAAGCAGAGGACAAGUGAGACUAUGGGUCACAGCUGUAGUCCCCAAUCUUGCUUUACGAAGAGCCUUCGACUUGGCUGGGAGUGGGGGUGGGGCUCGUGGUCUAUUAGGAGAAAUGAUACUCUACUUUCUUAUUGUUAUUUCUUUGUUUAUUAUUUUUUUUGGAACAGGGUUUCAUGUAUCCCAGGCCGGCUUUGAACUCAGUAUAUAUUACAGGAUGACCCUGAACUCCUGGUCCUCCUGUUUCCCAGUGUUGAGAUCACAGGUAUUCUUCAUUGUGCCUGGUUUUAUAGAGUGACAGAAUCGAACCCAGGGCUACAUGCACAGUCGGCAAGCACUGUUCCGAAUGAGCUAUGGCUUCAGCCAGAGGUGGUGUCUUACCGUCCACUCAGCUAUCUAUGUCUCCAGGUUAACCACUGCUUAGAUCAAGUUCCCUAGCCCUAGCUCCUCAGCAUCUUCCCUCUCAACCUCACCUCCCCCAACACACACACAAACAAAACUUGAAUAAACAGAUUACUUAAGAAACACAGAGGGGAAAAAAAUGUCCGAGGAGAGUGAGCCAAGAGCGAUGAGAACUGAUGAGAAGAAGGGCGUCCUAAUAUGGUGCGCAGAUGGUGGCCGGACUGGAGAGACAGAAGGAGGGCGUUCCUGACUUCAGUGGGAUCAGGUUCCGUCCAACAGUCCAGCCUCGAGGUCUCAGCUGAGUGGAAGCUGAGGGCACGGUAAACUUCUUCCAAGAAGGUUCUCCUCAGAUUUUAUCAAUCGAGCUUACCAAGCAUGUGCUCCAAAGCCUUUACAGAACUGAAGAGGCUAGUGGAAUGGCUUAGUGGACAAAAUGUUUGCUGAGAACUGGAGUUCAGAUCCUCGGAACCCAGGUGAAACCUCAGACAUCAGAGACAAGCUGGCUGGCUAGACUAUGGGAAAUCAGCACACCAGAUGAGGAGAGCACGUGACACAACUUAGGGCUUCCACACACACGCAUGUACCAAUCCACUUGCAAACAAGAAUACACAAAUGCAGGGACAAUGCCUGCAUAUGUACUCAUGCGCAAAUGCAAACGCAUACACACACACACACACACACACACACACACACACACACACACACACACACACACAAGUGAGGGGAAUAAAGGGCGAUAGAAAAAUCAAAGUUGGUCCCUGGAGUCCAGGAAUGUCCAGAUAGCCAGACUAACAGUGUUAGAAGCCUUAAGAAUUAUGGUAGGAGUUCAGGUCCAGGGGUUUUUACUGGGAACAGCUAGAAAGAUGUGGAGGGGCAGAUACCUAAGCCAGUGCAAGGUAAGCAGGCCACAGUGGUAGGCUGGGAAUGAGUAAGCAAAAGCACUGAGGUGUGGGAAGUGAGGGGUGUGUGGCUUCGGGGGACCUAAUUAAUAUCUUAGGCUUUCUUUCAGGAGGUAAGAAAUCCAUGUGACUAAGGGAACCAGUCAAUACAAAGACUAUGGUUUAAAAAAAAAAAGUCAAAGACUAUUUUUAAAAAGUGAGUCACCAUGAAAUUAAGGGGGAAAAAACUGCUAUGUCAUACCAGGAGACAAAAGGCAGGAGAGUCCCUGGGGCUGGGAGGAGAGUCCCUGGGGCUGGGAGAAGCCGGCCCUCGAAGGAAGGCUAGGCCGUGGGGGUGGCACUGCUUACACACCUGUGUGUGUGAAGUAGCAGCAGGGAGGAAGAUAGACACAGGCACGUGCUGGAACUAAGAGUAAAUCCCUGGGAGUGAGCUGCAGGGCUCCAGGGGCAUAGGAAAGAUCGAUGGCUGCCCUAGGGAGAAACGGGACCACCCCCAGGUAGUGUGCCCGGUAGCCGCAGGAGUGAGUGAGCAUCUUUCCAUGGAGUCUCAAGUGAAAGCCAGCCAAGAGCAUGGCCACGGGGCAGAGAGGCAGGCUAGGGUGGGCAGGGGAUGAAGAAACUGUUCCUGCUAUUGGAUGGUCCAUCCUGGGCACAAACGAUAGGGGUCAGUGAGGGAACAGAGGGCAGAGGCAGGGACCUGAAGCUGUCCGAGGGCACGACAUGGCCCAGAAGGUGCCAGUUUUUAGACAGACUAUCAUGUUUUCCUAGACGGACUGCCCUCCCCCUAACACACACAAUGUCUUUGGAUCUGAUUCCUCCUAUGUAGAAAGGGUAAUGUGGGAACCAAGUUUCACCUGAACCCCGAGACUCAUAGGUUCCUUCUUCUGCUAUGUGUGUUUGUGUAUGCAUAUACAAGUGUGUGCACAUGUGUGUGGAGGCCAGAAGACAACCUUCAGCGCCAUUCCUUAUCUUUAUUUUUUAUUUUUUUUUUUGACAGGGGUCACUCACGACCUGGAAUGUGCCAAGAAGGCAAGGAUGCCUGGCCAGCAAGCUAAGCUCCAGGGGUGGCGGUUUCUGCCCCUCCCCCUCCUUGUACACAGGUCCUGGGGUCAAAUCCAAGGCUCCUGCUUGUUAGCCACGCCCUUUGCUGACUGGGCUCUCUCUCCCACCCAGGACAGUUUUACAGACUUUAGAACAUCUCUAUGCUGCACAAAUCAAACAUUACUCCACACCCCACCACUGUGAGACUUAGAGGCAGCAUGCUGGAACGAAAUACUUCUGCCGUAAGUUUUUACAGUAAAUGGGAGCGACUAUAAAUAUACUCACAUCAUUUUAGCUUUUUGUAGACAAAUGAGUUUUUAUACUAAUUUCAUGCAAAGAAUGCUUUUAAAAAUCGCUAAGGGUGGGCACGACAGCUCAGCAGGUAAAGGCACCCGCUGCCAACCCUAAUGACCUGAGUUCAAUCCCCAGGACCUACAUGUGGAAGAAGAGAACUGACUUCUGAGCGUUGUCCUCUAAUCUCUCUCACACACAAACACACAUGUGUGCAUACAUGUGUUUGUGUGCCACUCAUGGGAGCACAUGUGUCUAUGAGCAUACUCACGUACCAGCACAUACCCAUACAAACAUACACUCACACAUACGAGCACACACAUGUACAUGUACAGAAAAAAUAGAAUUAAAAAAGAGUUUUAAAGUCCGUGCUGUGAUGGUGGUGUGAAGCCAUGUUAGGAGUCUGGGUUUUAUCAAGUGGACACAGAAAGGCAGAGAAAGACAUUAUAAAAUUUUUUUCUAGUAAACUGAUGUCAACAGACUUCAAAACACCCCACUGUAAUAGUGGAGAGAGACAGUCAGAUGUACACGGGUAGGCACAUUAGGAGACCCUUCUAGCAAACCGAAUGGGGGAUGAGAAGGGUAUAGCGUGGUGUUAUGGUGCCAGGGAUCUCAAGAGCAGGUUCACGUAAGUGCCUAAGUGUGGAAGCCACACAAUCUCAAAUGCUACGGAGGGGAAUGAGGAGUGGGGAGGGCCAGUCUGGAUGUGUAGCUGUGGACUAAGAUGUGCUUAGGAGACAGGUAAAGUGCUCUCCUGGGUAUCUGUGAAGGAGUCUAUGGUAAUGAUUAGAACCUGAGGACUCUGACCUAUAUAUAACUGGAUUAAUUCCUAGAUGACUCCAAAAUAUGGCAGUGUUGUUAGGAGGUGCUGACAGAAAAAGACGGGGCUGCUGGAGGAAGUGGUCACUGGUACCUGUCCUUGAGCUUAUAUCUGACCCUGGUCCCUCUCUGUAUUAGCUCUUGUGCCCCUGUCCCCCACAACCACGAUGUCUUGACCCUCGAUGGGCCCAGAAAUAUGGAGCCAAGUGAUCAUGGACUGAAUCUUCUGACUCCGGAGCCAAAAUAAAUCAUUCCUUUUAAGUUGUUUAUGUCAGGUAUUCUGUCCUAUGGACAAGAAUAGCCAUUAAUGCAGAAUGAAUACAUACCCACCGAGUAUAGUUAAUGAGGUCUUUGGUGACAGUCACCAAGCAUUGCAGACAGACCAACUGAGGCCUGGGGCAACCCACAAGCACACAGGUUUAAGCAGUGGGACAGGGACGCAUGGGGGAAGUCGAACAUACACUCAGGUGUUGGUUAUUCUGAGUGGGCGCCCAGGGAAGUUAAAGGGGAAGGAAUCAGUCACGCAGUUGAAAAUGGGUUUCAGUUGGGAAUUGGAAAUCUUUCUCUGUAAAUGACCAGUAAAUAUUGUAAGCUUUGUUGGUUACAUCAAGUCUCUGUAGAAGGUAUCACUGAAAUGGAGCACUUAGGGGAUGGAGACACGGCUCCAUUUUUGUGAGAGAGUAUACCAGAAUACCAGGACCUGAGUUCAAUUCCUAAUACCCACACGGCGGGGGAGGGGACACCUCAUAACUGCGGGUAGUACGGUUGUAGGGUUCUACUGCCCUAUUCUGGCUUCUGUAAGCACACAUAAAGAAACACAAUAUAGGGCUGGAGAGAUGGCUCCGAGGUUAAGAGCACUGACUGCUCUUCCAGAGGUCCUGAGUUCAAUUCCCAGCAACCACAUGGUGGCUCACAACCAUCUGUAAUGAGAUCUGAUGCCCUCUUCUGGUGUGUCUGAAGACAGCUACAGUGUACUUAUAGAUAAUAAAUAAAAAAAUCUUUAAAAAAAUAAACACAAUAUAAAUAAAGAUAUAUCUUUUUAAAAAUAUAAUAUCAGAAAUAAUUUUUUAAAAAGGUUAGAAACAAAUUGAGAAAAACUCUCAGAAUGUGGGACAAAAAAUUAGGGACAGAAAUGAUAAAACAUUUUUUAAUUAGAAAGUAUGACAUCUAAAAUAUAAAGGCAGAUAAGAAAAAAGUGGGGAAGAGGGGCUGGAGAGAUGGCUCAGUGGUUAAAAGCACUGACUGCUCUUCCAGAGGUCCUGAGUUCAAAUCCCAGUAACCACAUGGUGGCUCACAACCAUCUAUAAUGAGAUCUGAUGCCCUCUUCUGGUGUGUCUGAAGACAGCGACAGUGUACUCAUAUAGACAUAAAAUAAAUACUUUUUUUUAAAAUGGGUUAAAAAAAGUGGAAAGGAAAAAAAUUUAAAGAGAUUAUUCAAUGAAAAUUUCCUAAAACCACAGGGCUACAGAACUACAGAGUUUUUUGGUGGUUUUUUUUUUCUGGUUUUGUUUGUUUCUUUUUGCUUUAUUUUAGCUUAAAGGGUCUUUGGGGGCUGAGGGGAUGACUCAGUCAGUUCAGUGCCCAGCACACAAGCAUGAGGACCUGAGUUUGGAUCCCUGGCUCUCAUGUCAAGGUGGGCGGGGUUACAUUUGUAACAGCACAGGCUGCUGCCACUGUUCCAGGCUGCCCCACAUUACACCCUAAGACACCACUCACUCAGGAUGCAGGACAGAGAGAAGUCUCCCUUAACGGACCAGGAAACCCUCUCCCUGCUGGAAAAGUUCCACAGUUCCAGAAGGUGCUGUACAGGCUGCCUCAGGAGAAAAGAAAUGGAUGCUUUUACGUAGCACUGGACCCUGCAUGUGCUACCUUACAAAAAUCUUCCUGGAAAAACUAGCCUACUGGUGCAGUUGUGGCACAAUGGUUACGAAGUUAACCAACCGCUCUCUGAUUAGACAUGAGGCCCUGCCACAGUGUUUCCUGUUGUUGUUUUGCUGAACAGUCAUGCUGCCAAUUAUGCUAUGAAGCUGCCGUCCAAAUAUCCAUGUCUACACUCAUAGAUUUGUGCUGCUUUCAAUGACCAGAGGAACUUCUUUUUUGCAGUGCAGAGCCUCAUAACUGGCCAAAAUGCUGAAACACUGAAACACACACACACACACGCGCGCACACACACGUCUCAGCUGUGUCACUGCAUAUGUAUCCA